rnacentral:rRNA from 1 species
GACGAACGCUGGCGGUGUGCCUAACACAUGCAAGUCGAACGGUAAGGCCCUUUCGGGGGUACACGAGUGGCGAACGGGUGAGUAACACGUGAGUAACCUGCCCUCAUCUCUGGGAUAACAGUCGGAAACGGUUGCUAAUACUGGAUAUGAGCUUGCAAGGCAUCUUGUGGGUUGGAAAGAUUUUUUUGGUUGGGGAUGGACUCGCGGCCUAUCAGCUUGUUGGUGAGGUAGUGGCUCACCAAGGCUUCGACGGGUAGCCGGCCUGAGAGGGCGACCGGCCACAUUGGGACUGAGAUACGGCCCAAACUCCUACGGGAGGCAGCAGUGGGGAAUAUUGCACAAUGGACGGAAGUCUGAUGCAGCAACGCCGCGUGCGGGAUGACGGCCUUCGGGUUGUAAACCGCUUUCAAUUGUGACGAAGCUUUUUGUGACGGUAGCAGUAGAAGAAGCACCGGCUAACUACGU